UCAUGUUAUACUAUUAGCAUA
rnacentral:piRNA from 1 species